rnacentral:rRNA from 1 species
AUGAACCCUGUUGGCGAAGAUCGCAUAUCAGGAACAUCACCAGAGGCAGAAAAUGCACAAGAAGAAAAGAAGGAGAAAGGAAAGAUUUUCUUAGAAAAGAUACUUCAAAAGAGGAAACACGAUGUUGAAUUCUCAAUAAAAGCGAGCAUCAAAAACAACAACACACAAAAGGACACACCAACACGUGGGCAGCUUAACGAGCAGGCACAGUUCGAUCACGACAAGAAAAGGGGAAGGCAUCUUGCAAGAGUGCAGACAAGUUCGCCAAAACCCUCGACGAUUCAAUCACAUGAUAUCAGCUCAGCAAACAUAACCUCAACUAAGAGGCCAUUCAAGAGAGCAAGCAAGGAAAUUGAGAAAGUCAACGCUCCAGCACUUGUCCCAGGAGAUUUCAUUUACAAAGAAAAGGCCAUGCAACUCUAUAGAUAUCUGAUGAGCCGACAAGGACAGAAAGAAUGCGAACAAGAACAACUAUAUAAAACCUCAAAGAGCGAAGGCUACAUUUCAGGAAAAUCGUUCAUGGAACAAGCAGGGAAAGGAAACGCACAAAUGGAGGGCUCCAUGCUAAAUGCGUUACUGGACGAAUGGACAGAACAGAAACAGUUCAACCCAGACGUCGCAACUGUACUCCCUACAAAAUUCGCAAAUAUGGUGCUAGGUCUCAAUUAUAAAAAAGGAGAGCUAUUAGAAUUCAACGAAUAUGAUGCACUACAGGCAUUUGAACAACUCGUGCGAGGUAAGAACAUCCUGCACUCGAAGAUGAUCAUGAUACCUCAUCACACGGACAACCACUACACGCUAUAUGUAAUGAACAAGUACAGAGAUAGCAUCGACAUCCUUGACUCACUGAACUAUGUAAACUAA